UGGCUCAGGACGAACGCUGGCGGCGUGCUUCAUACAUGCAAGUCGAACGAGAAGUCACCUUCGGGUGAUGGAAAGUGGCGGACGGGUGAGUAAUGUGUAGAGAAUCUGCCCUUUAGUGGGGGACAACAGUUGGAAACGACUGCUAAUACCCCAUAUGCGCGUAGCUGAGAUGCUAUUCGUGAAAACUCCGGUGCUAAAGGAUGAGUCUGCAUCUGAUUAGCUAGUUGGCGGUGUAAUGGACCACCAAGGCGACGAUCAGUAGCUGGUUUGAGAGGAUGAUCAGCCACAAUGGGACUGAGACACGGCCCAUACUCCUACGGGAGGCAGCAGUAGGGAAUUUUGCGCAAUGGGGGAAACCCUGACGCAAGCAACGCCGCGUGAUUGAAUAAGCCCUUCGGGGUGUAAAGAUCUGUCAGUAGGGACGAAACUUGACGGUACCUACAGAGGAAGCAUCGGCUAACUCCGUGCCAGCCGCAGC
rnacentral:rRNA from 1 species